rnacentral:rRNA from 1 species
UACGUAGGGGGCAAGCGUUACCCGGAUUUACUGGGUGUAAAGGGAGCGUAGACGGUAAUGUAAGUCUGAUGUGAAAGCCCGGGGCUCAACCCCGGGACUGCAUUGGAAACUAUGUAACUAGAGUACCGGAGAGGUAAGCGGAAUUCCUAGUGUAGCGGUGAAAUGCGUAGAUAUUAGGAGGAACACCAGUGGCGAAGGCGGCUUUCUGGACUGAAACUGACGCUGAGGCACGAAAGCGUGGGGAGCAAACAGG